CUCAACAGGUCCAUGAUGCACUCGAGCGCCAGGCGCGCAUCCCUCUAUGCCUUGGGGACCCGGGACGGUCAGCGCCGCUCUCAUUCUCCUGCCGCGUCUGCUCCUGUCCCUAAGUCGCGGCGGUUGCCGACUCCCACCCCCCAGACCAGGCUGAUGCCAAGAGCUCGCGGCCGCCGCCACCUCCUCUUCCACCUGACGGCGCAUCAGGCUUCUACUACUGCGACCUGAUUGGACCACAUACAUUACACUCUGAGCUUGACAAUCCUACAGGAGAAGAGCUGCUACUGGUGCCAUUCCCAGCUGCAAGGAAGUGAAUUCUGCCAGCAACCUGAGUAAACCUGGACACGGACCCUUCUGCAGUCAAGCCUCCAGAUGAGAACCCAGCCCUGGCCAACACAUUUACUGCAGCCUAUAAGAUCCUAUGCAGAGGACCCAACUAAGCUGUCCUCAGCCAACUCACCCAUGGAAACUAUGAGGUAAUAAAUGUGUGUGUUGUUUUAAGCCA